GUAAAGCCUCUUUUUGUUCAGGGAAGAAACGGUGAGGGCUAAUAUCCCCUUGACUAAUGACGGUACCCUGAAGAAAUAAGCACCGGCUAACUACGUGCCAGCAGCCGCGGUAAUACGUAGGGUGCAAGCGUUAAUCGGAAUUACUGGGCGUAAAGCGUGCGCAGGCGGUUUUGUAAGUCUGAUGUGAAAUCCCCGGGCUCAACCUGGGAAUUGCAUUGGAGACUGCAAGGCUAGAAUCUGGGCAGAGGGGGGUAGAAUUCCCACGUGUAGCAGUGAAAUGCGUAGAUAUGUGGAGGAACACCGAUGGCGAAGGCAGCCCCCCUGGGUCAAGAUUGACGCUCAUGCACGAAAGCGUGGGGAGCAAACAGGAUUAGAUACCCUGGUAGUCCAC
rnacentral:rRNA from 1 species